AAAAUUACACACAUGAAUACAUAGUACAUAGAAGAUUGAU
rnacentral:guide_RNA from 1 species